rnacentral:RNase_P_RNA from 1 species
GGCAGGUGAGGAAAGUCCGGGCUCCAAGGAAACACGAUGCCGGGUAACGCCCGGCGGGGGCGACCCCAGGGAAAGUGCCACAGAAAGCAAACCGCCCCGUCUUCCGUACCGUUUCGGGUAAACGGCAGGGAUGACGGGGUAAGGGUGAAAGGGUGGGGUAAGAGCCCACCGCGCCGGCAGCAAUGCAGGCGGCACGGUAAACCCCAUCGGGAGCAAAACCGAAUAGGGACGGCGCGUCGGCUCGAAAGGGCAGGCAAUCGGUUUCCGGAUCAGCCGUCCGGGUGGGUUGCACGAGGCGGGUGGCGACAUCCGUCCCAGAUGAAUGGCUGCCGCGCCGGGCGCAAGCCCGGCCGUACAGAACCCGGCUUACAGACCGGCUGACAUU